ensembl:miRNA
CGGCAGUGUACUGCUGCUGGCUGUGCUAUUUGACUGACAGCUGUCAGCUGCACUCCU